rnacentral:lncRNA from 1 species
UGACGUUUGGGAAUAUAAUGAUAUCACUGUGUUCUGUUAUGCCUGUGUAGUCAACAUUUUAAAUUUUUUAAGAGGCCCGCUCUUUCUGACUGUAAACAAAGCCAUUCUCCACCUCCCCAACCUGAUUGGUUGUGAGGCGAAUGCUGCUCCUUAGUGCUAAUUGGUUGUGAGGCAGACGCUGCUCCCUCGUGUUGUGAGGAAUGCUCCACAUCCUUGAAUAACAUUCAUGAGCCCAAACAAAGUUAGCGUACUACAAUAUCGGAUAGUAGAAACCAACUAGCUUUCACACCUGCCCAAACGAAGUGGACUGUCCGAGGAAACAAAAUCUGGUCCGUUUAAAGUGGGCCAAACAGCUCUGAUGUGAAAGCGACCUUAGAUUAGGUUAUUCUUUCUUUUCUCUUUCUGUCUUGCUUUCCCUUUCUCUAUUGAAAUCAAUCAGCUAUGACACAUCCCAAUACCCCCCAUAUUGCGAUAUGUGCGUGCAAGGUAUUUAUGAUGGGGUGGACAGAAGUGUAGAGCACAGUGUCAGGUGCUGUUGCUACAGGACAAGACAGAUGUCUCUGGCAGAGUCCUUCUGUGCUGCAGAAAAAACUAUCCAGGUACAGAGGGAGAAAGUGUGGAACUUUAAGCGGUGCUAAGCACUGUUGCUGUUGGAGUUGUUCAAGUUAAUGAAUAGGAUUAUCAAAUAGUAACAAAAUAAAUGCAUGCUUCAACAAAGUGCUGCAUGAGUUCAGCUUGGAGUAAAUUUCUGUUUAUCACUGAGUUAAUCUCCCAUACACGAAAAAGCCUACAUUUAUUCAGGUGAGGUUUCCUAAAGAAUUGAUCAUUUAAAGUGGAUUACAUAAACUAGGUGUCUAAACUGUGAUAAGACUUAAGUAUCCAGUCAAGAAAAAAAUCAUAAUUAUGCAUCUGUAUGACAUUUAAAAACAAAAAGCAGUAAAGUAUUAUUACUUUUAUAUUUAUAAUUUAAUCUCUGUUACUGGCUCCAUGCAAGACAAAAAGCAGUGUCCUGAUCAAUUCUAAUAGGGAUGUAAUCUAUUUUAGCUAUCAUUGGUUCCCGAUUGUUCAGUUUGUAGAUUUUUCAUAGUGUGAUCAAAACAUGAUCUAAACCAAGGACUUAAUUUUCUAAAAAAAAUUGCAAUUUUCUAAAAGUGAUUGUGACUUUUAGGACCUAGCAAGAUUAAUUUAAGACUUAAAGCAGACAAAUGGAAAUUUGGGGAUUUUACACUUUUCUGACCGUGCAGACACCCUGAAAUUGAUUUAAAGUACAUAGAACAAAUUCCCAAAAACAAUAUGACACAAAUACUCAGCAUGUGGACAGAAAAGUGGUAUGGUGAUAUUCACAGGUUGGCAGUGAGGACUGCGAGGACACUGGCUAUAAUAACAAAUGAAUCAAACUCAGUAUUUACAUCAUGCAACAUGUUUUUGCAUUCCUUCACCAUAAAAUAGUGCCAAAACAUUGCAUGCAUGUCAAAAGAGGACUUGAAGGCAGAAUGAAAAAGGAUUUGUCAGUUGCAGUUUUAAACAGUUGAAGUUGGCCCUACCCUUUUUGGGUGUAUGCCUUCAAUCUGGCACAUUUUUGCCACUAAGUAUGACAAUGGAUCAGUUGACAUACAUUUACAAAUACAAAACGGUUCAAUAGAUGUUUUCCAUAUGUGGUGUGGCUGGUGAGUUGUGAGGACCCAGAAGCAGACACAGAGACAGAGAUCAACUUAUGGUGUAAUUUAAUGUCCAAACACAGGUUUUAAAUGCAAAAAGAGGAAGUCUGGUAGGCUGGUUGGCUGGCUGGCUGGCUGUCGUGUGGGCUGGAGACACUGCAGAAAAAACCAGAGGAGAAGGAAGUAAGCGAACAUGCAAUGAAUCACAAGGAGCAAAGUACUGAUACUCAUACACAGAGGAAGGCCAGGAGAUGCGUCUUGUACCACUUGGAAGUGAAGACAAUACUCAGGCGCUGAGACUGAGGGCUGCAGGCUUCUUAAAGUGCUUUGAUUGUAGAUGUAGCGCAGGUGUGUAGUCUCACUCAGCCUCAGCGACGGGGGGAGGGGAGGAAGCUCUGAAAGAGAGUAAAACCAGACCAGGCAAACAAGGAAACACAGGAAGUCCAGCCAAAAUAAAACAAGAAGAGGAGGCAUCUCACCACACCAUAAAGGCCAAUCUGAUGAGUCCACUGGAUGAGAAAGCCAGCUUGAGCCCAAAUUUAACACCUUGUGCUAUUGUUUAAUAGAUUUUUUGUUUGGUGAGUUAAUUCUGUGGCUAACCCCCCCCCAAAGACGUGUAAAUGCCUACACUAAAAUUGUCAUGUCACAACUAAAAAUUACUCAGUCUUAAUUACAUCUUGGUGUCAUUUACUGCACAGACUCACUGCUUUGACCUGUCUUCUGGUGUCUUUUUUUCAUUUGACAUGCACACGUACAGGGACUUGCAUACAACUACACCUGGUAAACUCUGUAUCUGAUGCCAAGAAGGUUGUUAAUCGUUUCAUUUAUUGGCCUGUCAUUACUUUCUUGUUUUUCACAAAUGCAUUUUUAAUACUUAAAUGCUUACAAUAUAAAAAAAUAUCCUAUUUAUUUCUACAUACACAUCUUAAGAAAUCUACUCAUCAAUAUUUAUCAAACUUAUCAGCAAACUCACCCAUGUUUUGUACAUUAUAGAAGGUCCUUUGAGAUGGUUUCAAAUGUUUUGUACUUCAUAUACAAUAGUGUUAAAGGUUUAUUAAAUUAUGCUACACAACAAUUGGCUUAAACCAUAGACUGUAUAUACUAUGGACAACCUGGUUCCACCUUCCGCCUGUAUAUGGAUUUGAAGCCAAAAAGCUCUCGAUAUUUCCGGGAUUUUUCUUUAUUUCCUGAAACCAGUGCUGCGCAAUAGCGAUGCGCGCAAUAGCGAUGCGCGCAUUCGGCCGCGCAGUUGCGGAAAGUCACUGAUGACACUCAGCUCAAACAACGUAUCCCCCGGGUGAGCUACGCAAUCCCUGAACGCCCAUAGGCUGUACCAGGUGUCAAUCAUAAAAAAAACUUGAACCCCCUAAUAAAUAACGGAGCUGCACAGAAAAAAGAGGACUUGAGCACAAACCAGUCUUACAAUAACUACAUGUCAACAUCACAAGCAGGGGGGAGAAAAAUGUAUGUUCUGUGUAAUAAAUUUCUAAAGUUUGUCCACAGUCCCAUAAGCUUUGCUGGCGGAGGCGGGAUUUAUGACCUAUACUGCAGCCCAUCAAUAGAGGGUGCUGUCCUUGGAGUGGCUUCACCCAGCGAGGAGGCAGACUCUGUCCAUUCUUUAUACAGUCUAUGGCUUAAACCUGCCCCUGUGAUCAGUAUCUGCCUCCAAAAAUCUGAUUGGAUCACCCUUAGUUGCUACAAUUUAUAUAGUCCUGCACUCACACCCUGUAUUUUGUUAUCAGCUGGGGGCUUCACAUCACAGCCUAAAGACUGAUGCUCAGAAUCCUCAAUACAGUAAAAUAAGAGGAUAAAAAUACAGGCAGAUGAAGGGGUCUCUGCACACCUGUAGCAGUAAUGAUUGAGAGGGGUUUGAAACAUUUUACACUAUACAUGAUUUUUCUGUUAAAAACAAUGACAAAAACUAAGUGUUUGUAGGUGUUGGUGACUGGGGGCUUCUAAGGAACUGUUAAAUUCAAUUCUGAUUAGUUAGCUUAAAAUAACUGACAAAUCCUGAAUAGUGUCAAUCAUCACGCUGAUGGUCAACCAACCUCUUAUGCAGAUAUGCCUUUUCAGGGUCACCAUACGUCUACAUCCAGCCAAAUAACUGGCCAGUGGACAGGUGUCAUGUAGUUCACCGAGUGCCACAAGCUUUGUUUCCCUUAUUGGUGACAAGGUUAGUUCAAAGGCUCUGUAGUGUUCACUGUUCCACCCACACAGUACUUCUACAGUGAGAAACAACUCAUGUAUAACACACAUCUGAAUGAUUUCAGCAAACUCCGUUAUUCCACUUGCUGAUCCAUGGGCAACUAUCAUUCCUUUGCUGUAGGCAACGCCACUACUUGAUGCACUCUUCGCAAGAUGCACUUCUGUUGUGUUUGGGUAUUUUGACUUAAUAGCUUGCGCCACUCCCUCUUUCAAUACAUCGACUGGAAGUGUGGACACAUUUGAUAGAUGGAGCCCAGAUUUACCAUAUAAUGGCUAGUUGAUGUGGAAUGCAAUCAUCAGCUGAUGUUUGGAAGCCAAAGUCGGGGGUAUAUUCUUAAAGCAACUCAUGUGCCUCACAAUCUGCUUAAAAAAGCUAUGUUUAGCUUCAAAUUACAUGCUCCAGAGUUCAACAAGAGGGGCAAAACACCUUAUCAUCUGUGGAUAGUGCUUAAGAUAGUGGUGCUUGGGUAAAAUUAUUUUACCAGGAAAUAGCUCUUUGUACCGCUGUCUAUGCUCAACUAUUUUGCGUUCAAGAUACGAGAUAGAUUCAUCUGUGUGCAUAGGAGCAACAAUGAACUCAACAAUAUCUUUCAAAUCCAUUAAAACAAGCCAUUAAAACAUGGCUCAUUCUUUGGCACAAGAUGUCCAAUCAAAAUUGGGAGAAACCUCAUCAAACUCCAGUUUUCAUGGGCAUUGCCUCCUAUAGUUUUCCGACCACAGAGACUCUGUGGUACAAUGUGUGGCUUUUUUGUUUUGUCUGACCAUUUAAAGGGAAAAACCAAAAUAGCUUUAUAUAGGUCAUCUAAUGUACAUAACUUUUUGUUUAUCAUUAAUGCCAAGCAGUAACUGGCACAAUAUCUUCCAAUACAUCAUGUGCAAUGUCAGGAGGAAAACCCGAGAUAACAUGAAAAUGGGAAAGACAACUGAUAAGAACACACCAAGAACACACUCGCGUUUAACGCCAACGCAAUGGGUGUUACUCUCAACUGCUGCUUUUACAUGCACGCACCUUCUUUAGUUCUCAGGCUGAAAACCCCAGAUGUAGCACAGUCAGUUUCAACAUUACAAUGUUGUGCUGUGCAAAACCGGCAAAAGAGAUCACCUGAAAAACUCUCAAUGAAGCAUGCAAUACUGUGUGCACUCAAGUCAUCAGCCACAUCACGCUGCACUCUGCCUUUAAGAGACACACCAAAUAAAGAAACAUACACACCAUGGUCCUCGAAAGUUUUAAGAUCUUGCAGGAGAGGUUCCAACACUUUUCAUAACCAUAUAUUUUUAAAUCAACACUUUUGCAAAGUUCUGCAAGAUAAAUUGAUAAGGAUGAGUAAGAGCCAGGUGGAAGGCUACCCAGUACCCAGUAAACACAGCAAAGCUUAUGUUUCUUAUGAGAGGUGCCCAAAGGAUUGCAGAUCUCAAAAUCAUCUACAUACAGACAGUGAUAUUCGUAAUUCCUCUACAUUCAGAAAGCUGUUUUCUUUAAAAUGCAAACUAUUUUUAGGAGACCUUAAUUCAUAAGAGGGAUCAAGUUCAAUGUCCUGAUUUUCAAUAAUCUUAUCAACAAUCGCUUUGUUAUUUAAUAUUUGCUGCAAGGAUUUCAACAGUGACACAUACUGAAAACUGUGUUUCUUUUUAUGAUCAAGUAUGUGGGUGAUUGGAUCCACAACACUGACUUUUUCUUUGUAAUAUUGUUGACGUUGAUAUGAAGCACUAAGAGGGCCACCUUUUUCAGUUGCUAUUUGAACUGGGUUAGCUGAGCAAACUGCUGUGGUGAUUUCUGUGACUACAGAGUCAUCAACCUGCAAGUUGUGACGCUCAAGAAUAUCACUUAUCAAACUUCUAGAAAAUGGAACUGAUGCAGAAUUUAUUAAGUAUUGAAGUUCCUGUAAGAAUUCAUUGAUUGCUGUACCUGGCACAUGCGCUAAAUAUUCCAACUUGAACAAGGCUGCUGCAAGCUGCUGCUGAAUUUCACCUAGAAGUGCCUCCUGUUGACCUUUGGAACUUGGUGAAGUAUGAAAAAUCUCCUCAUCCUGGCAAUAAAAAAAUGGCUAAUGCGAUGAUGACGAUGCUAAUGUAGUUGUUGUCACGUGCGUCCUUGUCUCUACAUGCAAGUUUAUCAAUAGUGCGAGCACGAGGAUGAGCUUGCAGCUCACCCUGCAGCGUUUCUGUACCAAAAAGCAAAGCUUAACAGACACAACGCUGAGUGUGAACAUUACAAACUAUGUUACAGACCAUAGGCCUACUACAUCGACGAAUCGUUGCAGCCCUAAUCAUAUUCAUUAGUAUUCAUUUUUAGAGUCAAGAUUUGUAUCAUAUCCGUAAAGAUAAUCUAUUCAUCAUAUUCCCGAUCAUGUUCACGGGCAGCUGCAUGACUAAGCUAGCUAUCAUAUACUGUAAGCCUUAGCGAACAUUGACAUUGAAGUUGAUUUAUUCAUGUUUUAUAAGCUAAUGGUGGAUAAAACCUUGGCUGUGUGUAAAAUAGAUGCAAGAAAGUCAGUUUCUCAUAUCUGGUACAACAUUUUAUUAAAUUUCAUUAAGCUCCCUUACCUUGCAAGAAGGCGCCAACAGCAACAGUAACGGUCAGCCGUCUGCACAUUUGCUGCUGAAAUCCUACUGCCCAGAGUACGCCCCUCAAGGCGGAGCUUCUGGACCAAACAUAACUUAUUCCUUUUUUCCUUAACAUGACUGAGAUUUGUUGACAUUACAUUUCUUGAAAUUACAAGAAGUCAACAUGACUUCCGUGAAACCACACAAGAGUCGCUCGGUUUUAGUCCGGCUGAGCUGGUUUUUGGGCACACUGUGCGCGGUCCGCUUCGUCUGCUGCGUGAGAGAUGGCUCGCAGACAAUCCCAGCCCUGCGCACAGCAUUUUAGAUUAUGUUAGUUCAUUCAGAAAGAGAUUGCACAGUGCUUGUGAGUUUGCCCGUAGUUCCCUCUCCGUGGCUCAGUCCAAAAUGAAAGAACAUUAUGACAGGAAAACUCUCACUCGCCACUUUCAGCCCGGUGACAAAGUUUUAGUCCUGUUACCUCUUUUGGGGCAAAGUUCUGUGGUCCUUAUGAUGUGGAGAGUAAAUAAAGUGACACAGACUAUAUUGUUAGCACUCCUGACAGAAAGCGAAAAUCCUGUGUGUGUCACGUGAAUAUGUUAAAAAAAUAUGUCGCUCGUGAAAAUGAUGACGUGCAAUUCGUUGAGCCUGUAGCCUGUGUGGCAGCUGUGGUGUCCCCCUCAUACAGUGCAGAGGAGGACGGGCUGCGUGAGCAGCCAAGCUCAGUUCAGUGUGCUCGCUUAGAAAAUUCUAGAGUCUUGGAAAAUCUCGAGGAGCAUCUGUCGUAUCUGUCUGAUCCGGCAAAACGCGACAUUUGCGGUCUCAUCCGUCGCCACAAGCAUCUUUUUAAUGACACACCCAGUCAAACUAAUGCGUAAAGAAGUUGAGUAUUUGGUAGAGAAUGGGUUUGCUGUGCCCAGCUGUAGUCCGUGGAGCUCCCCCUCCUUACUGGUUCCCAAAUCCGACCAAACUCCACGGUUUUGUACAGAUUACCGUAAAGUGAAUGCCAUCACCCAGCCCGAUUCCUUUCCCUUGCCCCGUAUGGAUGACUGUGUAGAUCGUGUGGGGUCGGCCAAGUAUGUAACGAAGUUGGACCUUCUUAAAGGGUAUUGGCAGGUGCCCCUUACAGAACGUGCAUCCGACAUCUCUGCUUUUGUCACCCCUGAUCACUUCUUGCAGUACACCGUGAUGCCUUUUGGGUUGAGGAAUGCGCCGGCCACUUUCCAACGGCUGAUGAAUAAAGUCCUUUCAGGUGUGGAGAAUUGUGAAGUCUACCUGGAUGAUAUUGUCUGUUACUCCUCCACCUGGCCCGAGCAUGUUAACAUCCUAGGAGAAGUGUUCAGAAGGUUGGAAACUGCUUCACUCACAUUAAACUUAGCGAAGUGUGAAUUUGGAAAAGCUGUGGUCACCUACCUGGGUAAGCAGGUAGGACAGGGACAAGUGCGCCCCCUGUCGGCCAAAGUCCAAGCCAUCCUGGACUUUCCUGUGCCAGAAACACGUCGACAACUCCGGCGUUUUCUGGGCAUGUGUGGGUACUACAGAGGCUUCUGUAGGAACUUUGCCAGUGUUGUUGCACCCCUCACUAGCUUAGUUAGCCCUGCUGUAAAGUUCGAGUGGACUGACAUGUGCCAGGAGUCUUUUGUUUCCACCAAAGCUCUUCUGUGUAGUGCACCCGUUUUGUCGGCACCUGUGUUUGACCGUCCCUUUAAGGUCGAGGUAGAUGCCAGUGCUUAUGGUGCAGGUGCGGUCCUUUUGCAGGAAGAUGAUAAAGGCAUCGACCAUCCCGUGUGCUACUUCUCUAAGAAGUUCAAUAAAUAUCAGUUUAAGUACAGCACCAUCGAAAAGGAAGCCCUCGCCUUACUGUUUGCUUUACAGCAUUUCGAAGUUUAUGUCGGUUCCA